GAAGGAUCAUUAAAGAGUAAGGGUGCUCAGCGCCCGACCUCCAACCCUUUGCUGUUAAAACUACCUUGUUGCUUUGGCGGGACCGCUCGGUUCCGAGCCGCUGGGGAUUCGUCCCAGGCGAGCGCCCGCCAGAGUUAAACCAAACUCUUGUUAUUUAACCGGUCGUCUGAGUAAAAAUUUUGAAUAAAUCAAAACUUUCAACAACGGAUCUCUUGGUUCUCGCAUCGAUGAAGAACGCAGCGAAAUGCGAUAAGUAAUGUGAAUUGCAGAAUUCAGUGAAUCAUCGAAUCUUUGAACGCACAUUGCGCCCCUUGGUAUUCCGAGGGGCAUGCCUGUUCGAGCGUCAUUACACCACUCAAGCUAUGCUUGGUAUUGGGCGUCGUCCUUAGUUGGGCGCGCCUUAAAGACCUCGGCGAGGCCACUCCGGCUUUAGGCGUAGUAGAAUUUAUUCGAACGUCUGUCAAAGGAGAGGAACUCUGCCGACUGAAACCUUUAUUUUUCUAGGUUGACCUCGGAUCAGGUAGGGAUACCCGCUGAACUUAA
rnacentral:misc_RNA from 1 species